rnacentral:snRNA from 1 species
GGAUGGAAGGGUGACCUGGCUGCUUCCUCUGUCCCCCCAGUGACUGCGGGGUUAGUUCUGGUGAUCUGCGAAGGCCCUUUUUCCAUGUCACUACUGCACAUGCUUCCUCUCUAAAGCUGCAUCCUGAUGCAGGACGCUGACUCCUGAGACUGAGGAGGACACAUCUUGGUCAAGGGUAUAUACGUGUGUGUGUCCCCUGCUAGAACCUCCAAGUACACUCUCGAGGUGCCUGUGUAGGAGAGUGUAGGUAAGGAAGAUUCCACUGCUAGAUGCCACCAAAGCAGGCACUGAACUGUGGCAGCCUGCCUGUC